GGGGAAUUUUCCGCAAUGGGCGAAAGCCUGACGGAGCAAUACCGCGUGAGGGAGGAAGGCCUUUGGGUUGUAAACCUCUUUUGUCAGGGAAGAACACUGACGGUACCUGACGAAUCAGCCUCGGCUAACUCCGUGCCAGCAGCCGCGGUAAUACGGAGGAGGCAAGCGUUAUCCGGAAUCAUUGGGCGUAAAGCGUCCGUAGGUGGCCAAGUAAGUCUGCUGUCAAAGACCACAGCUUAACUGUGGAAAGGCAGUGGAAACUGCAGGGCUAGAGUGCGGUAGGGGUAGAGGGAAUUCCAGGUGUAGCGGUGAAAUGCGUAGAGCUCUGGAAGAACACCGGUGGCGAAAGCGCUCUACUGGGCCGAAACUGACACUGAGGGACGAAAGCUAGGG
rnacentral:rRNA from 1 species